GCCCCAGUAGCUCAGAGGAUAGAGCACCGGUUUCCUAAACCGUAGGUCGGACGUUCGAGUCGUCUCUGGGGUA
rnacentral:tRNA from 1 species